rnacentral:rRNA from 1 species
CCUACGGGUGGCAGCAGUGGGGAAUAUUGGACAAUGGGGGGAACCCUGAUCCAGCGACGCCGCGUGAGUGAAGAAGUAUUUCGGUAUGUAAAGCUCUAUCAGCAGGGAAGAAAAUGACGGUACCUGACUCAGAAGCCCCGGCUAACUACGUGCAAGCAGCCGCGGUAAUACGUAGGGGGCAAGCGUUAUCCGGAUUUACGGGGUGUAAAGGGAGCGUAGACAGUGCAGCAAGUCUGAUGUGAAAGGUCGGGGCCCGACCCCGGGACUGCAUUGGAAACUGUUGAACUGGAGUGCAGGAGAGGUAAGCGGAAUUCCUAGUGUAGCGGUGAAAUGCGUAGAUAUUAGGAGGAACACCAGUGGCGAAGGCGGCUUACUGGACUGUAACUGACGUUGAGGCUCGAAAGCGUGGGGAGCAAACAGGAUUAGAUACCCUGGUAGUC